UACUAUUAUUAUACUAAUCCUUGAGAUGCUGAUACCUAAUUGUCUAAAUACUUUCUCAAAUUGAUAUAUUUCCAUUAUGUGACAAUUAUGUUUAUUAUUAUUGCCAAUGCAAUAUUUCUUUGAAGCCUCUUUGGUGCACUAUAAAUACACAUGAAGAAGAUUAUUAUAAUUUCAGUAUUUCUUAGAUUGUUAUUCUCAUUAUGAUAUUUCCCUAUAUUAUUAUGUAUUAUUUUCCUAGUAACUUCUCUAAAUUAUUAUUAUCAUUUUAUUACUCCCAUCAUUACACCAAUAAUUAAUUUAAAUUUUCUAACCACAGACUCAGUGUAAGCUAUCAUUCAUGGUUAUUCAAGAAGUUAAAGUGUUCAUAGUUAUUCACACAACACUAUCAAAUUGUCUUAAUACUGCAUUUAACUUGUAUAAGAAAAAAAAAGGAUGGUGUAAAUGCUCGAGUUACACCAUGUAAAUGGUUACACUGAGUGGCUGAACUUUCUUCUAAGAAGUGGUACAGACGAAGUGACUGAAGAAGAACAACAAAAGGAGGAAGACGACUGUGAUUUAAUCUGGCUCGCGCCAGGCCGUUCGACCCCGCGGCUAGAACCGCGCAAAUGCACAUAACCGGAUCGUUUAGAUUCUUAAGAUGAUUAGCUAAUCGGCAGUAACGAUUUGCCACGGAUGAUGCCUACGGUCGCGGUUCACCCUAUUAAUAUUGUUACGUCAGACUAAGUUUACGUCAUGCUACAUAACCGGAUGAAUGUAUAACAUUUCAUGGUGGAACAUCAGGAUUCCGGUGCCCACGUAUAAUUUCCGGAACCUGGAAUAGUGCCAUGGGCACAGUUUCCUGUUUCCUCUUCGUUGAAGUUAUUUUUAUUAUAAGUAGAUGUUGAGCAUAUUCUUUCUUAAUAUAAUUAUUAUUUUUAUUAUUUUAUGAAAUACUUUGUUAGAUUAGAUUGUUUCUGUGUUGAAAUAUUUAUUAUAUACAUCAUCUCUCUGUGGAAUAUUUUUUUAUGAAAUAUCUUUUCACUUCUUAUGGAACGUUUCUUUAUUUUAAAUAUUCUUUUCGUAGAUUAUCUUUUUCUGAAUCAUCCGUAUUUAGAAAAAAUUCUCCUUUAAUUCUUCGAAAUAAUGUCUUCACUGCAGAAAAUUCUCCUGUUGUCUAUCUCUUUAUACAAUUCAAUCCAAAAUCCUCCCAGACGUAUCAUCUCCUUGGUAAAAGAUUCGUUUCAGUAUUUUCAACCAAUCCGAGUGCAUUUGUUCUGCGUUCUCUUUAACUCGCCAACGCUUAUCCUCCAUUAGAGCCCGCAGAAAGUUAUGCCAACCAGCAUUCCUGAUUUCAUACAUGAUAAACUCGUUUACCCAUCGAGUGCGUAGAGCAAUGAUUCCAACAAUCACGUGCUGUUCAUCUUAUGGUCGUCUAGAAGGAUCCAACUAUCAUAGUAUGUUAUCCUGUCCCAUCACGUGCAUACAUCAUCUCUUCUCUCCUCGACUAUCAAUCUCACGUUAUAAGACGCGUUACGGCGUUAUAUACAAAUAUAGCAUAAUACAUACAUAAUAAAUAUAGUAAAUCAUAGUCAAACCUUGUAAAAUUUAUAUAUGUUAUAAUUUUAUCUUUAAUAAAGACGUUAUAUUCUUCUGAAUUUUUAAGGGAAGCAUUUUUAAUCAAAAAACUUUUUCUAGGAAAAAUAAAAUUUUAGGGAUAUUUCUGGAUUGAAAUUCAUACUAAUGUAUUUGAAGUACCAAGGCUUCAAAUUCUGUUAAACGCUUGUUGGAUAAGCCUAGUCAUUUUGGUCACCUAUAUAAGGGAUGUUGUAUAUUGCUUUGCAACGUUAUAGCCGCAUGUAUUAAUGUAAUUUCAUCGGUGUUGCAGCGACUCGAGGAGUGGUUAUUGUUCUCUGUCGCAACAAAGUUGAAGUGCUUAUGAAGAACAUAAAUUCCCGUAAUAGCGCUACGAAACGAGUGGUCUGAGAUCUCCUUUAAAUGAUUCUACGAUAAUUCUUCUCUUGUUACAGUUGAAAUAGGCGAUUACCAUAAGAGAUUAAUAGAUAAAUAAAAAUAAAUUGAAGAUGAAAUUGCGAUACAUAUAAGCUUUAUAAAUUUUGAUCAAUUAGCUUUUGUAUUAUAAAAUAAUAAUAAUAAUAAUUUUACAAAUUCUAAUAAGUAAUCAUUUUGAACUUUCAGGAUAUCACGAUAGAAGAUAACGAAGAGAAAGAGAAGAGAUGCUAUCUAAAGUGCAAAAUCGAUGUCCGGUCGAUCCAUUCUACAUUUACGUAAGCAGAUCGUGCAUUGAGUGCUCGACAAAGUUCAAUGUUACUUGUAGAAUCAGCGUUAACCCAGAUCUAUUCAUCUAUUGCAACCCUUGCCUCUACUAUGAAACAGUAUGUCGGAAAUGCAGAAUGAAUGGAUCAAUGAGUAACGCGGUUUAGUGAACUAAAUCGUUCAAGAUCAAUUUCCUUUGUGUUAUCUCUUCAAUUAACUGGGUAGCAUCAAUCGUUGAAGAGAACGUAAUUUAGUUUCUAUCGCAACAGCGAAUUGUUCCUUGUUCUGAAACCAGCCCAAGAAGAAGCAUAAUUCCCUGGGACACCAUAUUGGGUAUUCAAUGGUGGUUCACAUUGCACAAUUCCUAUGCUCACCAUGAGGGCAAGAGUUAACUGGAAAUUAAGGCGUGGUUAAUCACAUCAGACACUGAGGAAUAUUUAUAGGAUACACCUCAAGAAUUACUUCAGAGAUCUACUGAUAUUUGUGGAUUAUACGUUAAAGAUUACUAUAACUAGUAACCUUCGGAAAUCUAUCUGGAAGCUUGCAAACCUAUCAGUGUCUCAAAUGUCAAUAAAACGGCAUUGACCUAAUUAUUGAUUCUUAAUUAUUAAAAUAUUACUAAUAAUAAUAUUCAAGUUGCUAUUCUCUCAUGAUAAUCACAACGCAUAGCGUUAAUAGCAUAAUAAAUGAGUAGUGCGGAGGAAUAAUUAAUUCGAAAGGUAUCAGACAGAUUCCCAGGCGUAGAACAGAUGCGUCGCGUCGAAAGCGCGAGAUGAUCAAGGCAGCUCACGUUGCGUAGGCGAGAAAUUGGAGUCGUGAGCCAGCGUUUUCCUCCCGUUUCUGUCGUGAGAAAGCCUCCGAGUGCGCAAAAGAGAGGGAAACGUUGCGUCAUGUCGCGCCGCGUUCAAAAUCAGAGCCAGAUUAAGCGCGAUUGCGGGAAAGGAAGAAGAAAGAUGAAAACGAAGGAAUUAGAUUGUGUUCCGUUGGAUUACAACAAGUUCUCGUUAAAGAAUCGUCUUGUUAUAUAUAUAUAUCCUUUUACAAGGAAACAAAUUUUUCAAACUCACGCAGUCCACCAGUCACGCUCUCUGUAUUGUGUACCGAACAAUGUAAUAACAGAAUAUUGGGCACAAAUUCAUCCGGAUGUGAAAUAAGAAAUGUAACUUUCGUUCAUGAAUAAGUCAACAGUGACUUAAUUAUAUCUGUGAAAUGAUUUUUUAAAUUCCAAGAGAUGUUACAUAUUGUAUUAAAGAAUUGAUAAAUAAUAAAAUUUUUCAGGAUUAUAGGUUAA